AAACAGCGUCUUUUUCUCGUGACUUUCGUGUGAGGAUAACAAAGUAAAGUGGGAUGCGUUUUCCGUCAAAAUUUCAUAAUACUCGUGCGGUUCUGUGUAUGAGGCAGAAAUGAAGAGUUUAGCCAUACUUAUAUUUUCUGUUCUCUUUAAAGGUGUACUCGGUAAGUCCGCAGUUUGUGGUGUUUAAUAUUCAUUUUGAUAUAUACGCGAAGGGUUAUAUGGAUACAUGGC